CCUACGGGAGGCAGCAGUAGGGAAUGUUGCGCAAUGGGGGAAACCCGGACGCAGCAACGCCGCGUGAGAGAUGAAGACCUGCGGGGUGUAAAGAUCGGUCAGUGGGGACGAAACCUGACGGUACCCACAGAGGAAGCACCGGCUAACUCCGUGCCAGCAGCCGCGGUAAUACGGGGGGUGCAAGCGUUGUCCGGAAUCAUUGGGCGUAAAGAGUUCGUAGGUGGCACGGUAAGUCUGGUGUUAAAGGCGGAAGCUCAACUUCCGUAGGGCACUGGAUACGGGCGAGCUUGAAUGCGGUAGAGGUAACGGCCAUUCCUGGUGUAGCGGUGAAAUGCGUAGAUCUCAGGAG
rnacentral:rRNA from 1 species